UAUAGCUUCUAUUCUAUACACUAAGGAUAAUAGAAUGACUUUGGUUAUAACCUUGUAGGUUGUAAAGUAAAUCCAUAAGGUUGUUAAUAAUUUUGUGUCUCAAUUUAUCUUUGAAACUUAUAUUGUCAUUUUUAGGAUCUUAACUAAGGUUUGGUUCAUUUUUUUUAUAUGACCAUUAAUUUAUGGAUGGUAGAGAGUAGUCAUACAAUAUUUAAUAUUAAACCUAUUAUUCAUCUCUUCUAUCAUACUAUUUAAGAAUUAUGUUCCU
rnacentral:lncRNA from 1 species